rnacentral:rRNA from 1 species
ACGGGGGGUGCUAGCGUUGUUCGGAAUCAUUGGGCGUAAAGAGCGGGUAGGCGGCUGGAUAAGUCAGAUGUGAAAGCCCUGGGCUUAACCUAGGAAGUGCAUUUGAAACUGUUCAGCUUGAGUAAGGGAGAGGAAAGUGGAAUUCCUGGUGUAGAGGUGCCAUUCGUUGUUGUGAGGAGGAUUAGCGGUGGCGAAGGCGAACAUCAGGCCGCAUACUAACGUUGGGAUGGGAGAGCGUGGACGGAACACAG